UGGGGAAUUUUGGACAAUGGACGCAAGUCUGAUCCAGCCAUGCCGCGUGCGGGAAGAAGGCCUUCGGGUUGUAAACCGCUUUUGUCAGGGAAGAAACGAGUUUCUCUAAUACAGAGACUUAAUGACGGUACCUGAAGAAUAAGCACCGGCUAACUACGUGCCAGCAGCCGCGGUAAUACGUAGGGUGCAAGCGUUAAUCGGAAUUACUGGGCGUAAAGCGUGCGCAGGCGGUUACGCAAGACAGAUGUGAAAUCCCCGGGCUCAACCUGGGAACUGCAUUUGUGACUGCAUAGCUGGAGUGCGGCAGAGGGGGAUGGAAUUCCGCGUGUAGCAGUGAAAUGCGUAGAUAUGCGGAGGAACACCGAUGGCGAAGGCAAUCCCCUGGGCCUGUACUGACGCUCAUGCACGAAAGCGUGGGGAGCAAACA
rnacentral:rRNA from 1 species